rnacentral:rRNA from 1 species
CACGUAGGGUGCGAGCGUUGUCCGGAAUUAUUGGGCGUAAAGAGCUCGUAGGCGGUGUGUCGCGUCGGCCGUGAAAACCUGCAGCUUAACUGUGGGCUUGCGGUCGAUACGGGCAUCACUGGAGUUCGGCAGGGAGACUGGAAUUCCUGGUGUAGCGGUGAAAUGCGCAGAUAUCAGGAGGAACACCGGUGGCGAAGGCGGGUCUCUGGGCCGAUACUGACGC